UACGUAGGGGGCAAGCGUUGUCCGGAUUUAUUGGGCGUAAAGAGCGUGUAGGCGGCUUUACAUGUCCGUUGUGAAAACUCGAGGCUCAACCUCGAGACGCCGGUGGAAACCGUAAAGCUAGAGUCCGGAAGAGGAGAGUGGAAUUCCUGGUGUAGCGGUGAAAUGCGCAGAUAUCAGGAAGAACACCCGUGGCGAAGGCGGCUCUCUGGGACGGUACUGACGCUGAGACGCGAAAGCGUGGGGAGCGAACAGG
rnacentral:rRNA from 1 species